rnacentral:lncRNA from 10 species
GCCGGGCGGGGCGAGCGCUCCAGGCCUCCUCCCGACCCUGCGCCGUGCCCAGCCCCUCUGCCCUCCUGUUACCCCGGGACCUCGGGCCGCCAGCCCCUUCCACGUGCAGGCUCCUGCUGCUCUCGCGGGGGCUUUUCGUGUGUCCCCCGAGAUGUCGAGGAAGCCAGGUGAGUUCCUCGCGACAGGCGGUGCCCUUUGCAGGAGGGGACAGGUAGCUGAGGCGUGGACAGAGUGACAGGCCAGGCUCAGGGGACACAGGUGAGACCCCCUCACUGGGCUGCCAGUUCCCGGGCUUGGGGCAUCCCAGUACGUCAGCGUCUGCGGCCUUACCUCCUGACACCUAAGGCCAGAGACAGAGCAGGCCCGCGCCCUGGGAGGUCCUGAUGUCCAGCCUGAAGAUUGAGGACAAAGCCACCACCUUUCACAAAAUGAGGCCAGACCACCUGCCUCCCUCCAGUCCCUGCGGCCUGGAGACGGAGUCAACAUUCUUAUCUGUGUUGGAUCUGAAUGUUCCUCCUUGCAAAGGAAACAAGGAGUGGACGUUCAGGCUGAUGGCCAGCUUCAAAGAUCGGGGCCUUUGAUUCCCAUCACUGGGAAGAAAGCCCUUCAGACAAGCCCCCCCAGGCUGCAGGUGCAUGGGGACCUUGAAGAACCCGUCCCCAUGGUCCCACGUCCAUGUGUCUCGAGACCUGUCGCAUCCUCGCUGAAACUCAAGAAUGUGAAACAGGUGAAGGUGUGUUUUGACGCAUUAGCAUACCAGGGCUGUGGUGUGGGCACCGCCGUGUGAGUGAGACAGCAGCCUCAGCCCGUCCAGGUCACUGCAGAAGAGGAAAGCAGCCCCCACAGGCCCCACAGUGGUGCUCGCCUUUCUCCACCCCCCAGUCUUUCCUCUCCACCCCUCAGCUCCAAACAGCUGGAGGUCAGGUCGGGGAGACGGGCGUCCAUUCCCGAAAUUACAUAGCAGGGCCUGGAGACAGGAGAUGCCGCCGGCCAGACCACCAUCAGUCACUAAUGAGGGAUGGGCAGUCGGAACUGCCCAGUUUCUGAGUUACAGAAGCCGGGGGUGGGGGGCUGCCAGACUAGUAAAACUGACCUUGUUGGCGGAAUCGCUCACGGCUUUUCUGUUGAUGAACAGAGUCCAGCUCUCCCACGGGUGGCUGUGAUCCUUCUUCCUGGGGAGUCCUGCUGUCCCUGACUAGGGGCACCUGCCCACCUGUCAGCUGCUCCUCCCUCGGCUGGUCCUCCUGGGCUCUGAUGGCCCCAACAUUUCUAGCUCUUCUCACCCAUAGUGCCCCAAGCUUCAUGCAGCUGCGGCAGCAGCAUGAACAGACUGAGAUAGCGGCUUACAUGUAACCGGAAGCUGCAGAAAAACAUCUUCAGACAGCUGAGACGGCUCCCAGGACUCGUGCCUGGCACAGACACCAUCUGCCUGGCAGGGCAAAGAAAGGCGUCUGUGAGUGUGGGAGGAUUCCG